rnacentral:rRNA from 1 species
CAGUCGCCGCGGUAAUACAGAGGGUGCAAGCGUUAAUCGGAAUUACUGGGCGUAAAGCGCGCGUAGGUGGUUUGUUAAGUUGGAUGUGAAAUCCCCGGGCUCAACCUGGGAACUGCAUCCAAAACUGGCAGGCUAGAGUAGGGCAGAGGGUGGUGGAAUUUCCUGUGUAGCGGUGAAAUGCGUAGAUAUAGGAAGGAACACCAGUGGCGAAGGCGACCACCUGGGCUCAUACUGACACUGAGGUGCGAAAGCGUGGGGAGCAAACAGGAUUAGAUACCCGUGUAGUCCCUGUCUCUUAUAC